rnacentral:lncRNA from 1 species
CUAAAACCUUGUUGCAGGAGGUCAUCUAGAGGACAUGAAAGCAGGUUCACCUGUGAGCUGGAUCGACCAAUCUUGGGACCCUGGCUACUGGACGCUCCUUACCUGCCUCCCGCGUCCUGGGAAUGUAAGCUCCUCCCACCAUUCCCACAGGGGAGCCUCUUCAAGGAGCAGCCUUGAGAGAGCACGUGUUAUUGAGACCAUCUGGACUACAUUCGUGACUGAACCCCGUCUAGACCUCUAUGUAAACUAUAAGAUUCUGGCGUGCAAUGCGGAGAUCCACUCAUCUUGCGGUUGUUGAAGACAGGCUUGGAGGCAUUGAAACAGAAAUGGAACCAAAUCCUGUCCUUGAGUAUCUUCCAAGAUAUAUUUUAUUUUUUCCUUUUUCUCCCCAAAGCCCCCCGGUACAUAGUUGUAUAUUCUUCGUUGUGGAUUCUUCUAGCUGUGGUAUGCGGGACACUGCCUCAGCGUGGUUUGAUGAGCAGUGCCAUGUCCGCACCCAGGAUUCGAACCAACGAAACACUGGGCCGCCUGCAGCGGAGCGCGCGAACUUAACCACUCGGCCACGGGGCCAGCCCCUGCCAUGACCUUUUUUACGAAAGGAGUUUUCUCUGUAAAUGUGGAUCCAUUUCUGUACACUCAGUUC